GGAAAUCGUACCUUGCUAGGAGUUAGGGUUUCGUGUUGGCUGAGGAGGAGAGAAAUCCACGAAGAGUAUAGAAUUGAUUGGUUGAUUGAAGAGGGGAGAACGACAGGUGGACGAUUACUCCAACGACGCGUGGCAGAACCCCUAGAAUCCGGGAACCGUGUUAGGGUAACAGGGAUUCCAAGAGCCUUCUUGAGUCCUUCGAGUUGAGAGAAUGUUCAAACCCCUUUCUAGUGCUUUUAGGUGGAAUCUCCGAGCCUUUAAGUCACCAGAAAGGGUCCUUUGAUCUUCCAAGAGUCCAAGUCUUGAGUCUGAAGAGAAGUCUCAACUCUUUAGUGCUUUUAGGUGGAAAAAUCCAAGCCUUUAAGUCACCAAAAG
rnacentral:lncRNA from 1 species